rnacentral:rRNA from 1 species
GACGUAGGGCGCGAGCGUUGUCCGGAUUUACUGGGCGUAAAGAGUGCGUAGGCGGUUUUCUAAGUUUGGUGUGAAAUCUCCCGGCUUAACUGGGAGGGUGCGCCGAAAACUGGAAGGCUUGAGUAUGGGAGAGGUAAGCGGAAUUCCUGGUGUAGCGGUGAAAUGCGUAGAUAUCAGGAGGAACACCUGCGGUGUAGACGGCUUACUGGACCAUAACUGACGCUGAGGCACGAAAGCGUGGGUAGCAAACAGG